AUGCACUGCGUCUGCGUCGUCACCCCUGUUGAAAUCGUCGCCAGAGUCGUAGGCGACCGUACCUCUGAAUACAUGACGCAGCGGUCGGUCGUCGAGGUCGUCGAGGUUUACGGCACCACGACUCUACCACCACCAACGCCAGUACCGAUCGCGACGUCAACACCGGCCGUGCUCGGCGCGCCAUCCCGAGCCUUCGACGCACCGUCGUCGGUCUACGCACCGGCCUCGCGAUCGUUUCAUUUUCCACCGCCCCGGACGGGAGGCGCGUCGCGUCGUGGUAGUGCCCCGUCGGCGAGCGUGGCCGUCGCCGUCCGAGCGGCCGCGGGCGUCUCUUGCCGUGGGGGCGGGGGAGGCGACUCGAAGCGUGGCGAAGUUUUGCUUUGCCUUGCCUUGCCUUGUCUUGCUUUUCUCCCGGGGCUCGUCUCGUGGACUCAUCGUGAUCGCCAGUAG
rnacentral:rRNA from 1 species